GCGAUGGUAGUACAAUGGCAAUACAUCUGCUUCCCAAGCAGAUAACGCGGGUUCGAUUCCCGUCCAUCGCU
rnacentral:tRNA from 1 species